AACGCUACUCUAUCCUAUUGCAUGCCAUCGGCCAACAUUUGUAACUGAAUAAUAUUCGGCUUUUUCAUUACUACAUCUUUCUCCGUUUCUUUUCAUCGCCAAACCACUUUAUUCAGUUCCAACGAGAUCUAUUGCUUUUGGACCAGAAAAUUCAGAAACAAAUUGAAAUCUUUUGCAUUUCUCUGAAAUUACAGCAAGAUGCUUCAUUAGCUCGAAAAAGCUCUAGCUUUUUGAUUCAACAUGAUUGUGUUGUUCUUGUGGUUAAUUGAUUUAUUUUUUUUAAAUAUUAAUCUCGCUUUCUUAAGAUCUAAGUGUUUGUGUUGUUUUAUGUUAGGACCUCAUGUCUUUCUGUGAACACCCGUUCCCUCAUACUCUAGUUAAGAUGUCUACAGAAGUUGGAAGAGAGCUAAGGGAUUAGGUUUUGUCCUCUUCUUCGUUUUGUUUGAGUUCCUGCAUAUACUUUUUUUUUCAUUCUCUCCACUCCGUAAACUCUGUUAUACGUAUCUAUUUGACAUGUUCACCAUUAGUUUGCUUAGACAAGACAUGAAGCAGAUCAUAAUCAACUUGGAGACCUCUGAAAUCUACUCACUGGAUAAAACUGGACAUAAAGAUGCCAUUGCAAAGGCAUCAAAAAAGAGAAUGUCUUGUUGCAGAUAAUUAAUGGAAAAGCUCAUGUAAAGUAUUCUGGUGGGAAAUUUGAUGCUUUAUCUUUGAUCACUGAUGGAAAUUACUUGUUUAUGCGUUUGAUGACGAUAUAAAGCACGUCUUCUUAGAGCCAGCUGUUGGUUGUGUUGCAGUCAGUCGUUGUAUGGUUAACUCUUGGGUUUUGAUGUAAUGAUGAAUGUUCUUGAUUUAUGUAUAGAUUAACAAAAUAAUAUAGCUGGUUAAUGUAAGUUUAAUCUGAAAUUACUAUAAAUUAUUCAGUUAUAAUA